rnacentral:rRNA from 1 species
CACCGCGGUUAUACGAGAGGCCCAAGUUGACAGCACCCGGCGUAAAGCGUGGUUAAUACAAACUUAAACUAAAGCCGAACACCUUUAAAACCGUUAUACGUACUCAAAGGCGGGAAGGCCCCCCACGAAAGUGACUUUAAUAAUAAUGAACCCACGAAAGCUAGGAUA